UGGGGAAUAUUGCACAAUGGGGGAAACCCUGAUGCAGCAACGCCGCGUGAGUGAUGACGGCCUUCGGGUUGUAAAGCUCUGUCUUCAGGGACGAUAAUGACGGUACCUGAGGAGGAAGCCACGGCUAACUACGUGCCAGCAGCCGCGGUAAUACGUAGGUGGCGAGCGUUGUCCGGAUUUACUGGGCGAAAAGGGAGCGUAGGCGGACUUUUAAGUGAGAUGUGAAAUACCCGGGCUCAACUUGGGUGCUGCAUUACAAACUGGAAGUCUAGAGUGCAGGUGAGGAGAAUGGAAUUCCUGGUGUAGCGGUGAAAUGCGUAGAGAUUAGGAAGAACACCAGUGGCGAAGGCGACUUACUGGGCCGUAACUGACGUUGAGGCGCGAAAGCGUGGGGAGCGAACA
rnacentral:rRNA from 1 species